UCAGGUUCUGAAGGAGGGAGAAUGUGUGCCCUGUUCUGCUGGAGAGUACGAGUUUGAGGAUGAGUGCCUACCUUGUGCUGCUGGAACGUUCUCUGAUAAACCAGGUUCCACAACCUGUUCCCUCUGUAUCCCCGGUCAUUACAGUAACCAGGGAGCUGUGCAGUGUGUCCAGUGUUCAGUUGGCCAGUACCAGGAUAAGAGUGGCCAGAGUUACUGUGAGGCAUGUGCAGCUGGUUACUAUGGAGCUGCUACUGCUGCCAGUAGUUGUAUUAAGUGUCACGCUGGCUUCUUUAAUAAUCAGGAGGGCCAGGUGUCGUGUGAGCAGUGUCCCGCUGGAACUAUUUCAGAGAUCCAGGGUCAGCUCUCCU